AUUCUUAUAUUUGGAAAAAAUAAAAGGGAAAUGCAAAAACUUCUUAGAAAAAAAUUACAGAAAGUUAGAAACUGAGAAUUAAAGACAACUUGCUGCAAGUAGAAUGAGCAGAGAAGUCUUAGCAAUCUACCGCAAGCCAGAAAGAC